rnacentral:rRNA from 1 species
AUUGAACGCUGGCGGCAGGCCUAACACAUGCAAGUCGAACGAGUGGCGGACGGGUGAGUAAUGUCUGGGAAACUGCCCGAUGGAGGGGGAUAACUACUGGAAACGGUAGCUAAUACCGCAUACCCUCGGAUGUGCCCAGGUGGGAGUAGCUAGUAGGUGGGGUAACGGCUCACCUAGGCGCCGAUCCCUAGCUGGUCUGAGAGGAUGAACAGCAACACGGGAACUGAGACACGGGCCAGACGCCUACGGGAGGCAGAAGUGGGGAAUAUUGCACAAGGGGGGCAAGCCGGAUGCAGCCAUGCCGCGUGUAUGAAGAAGGCCUUCGGGUUGUAAAGUACUUUCAGCGAGGAGGCGUUACUCGCAGAAGAAGCACCGGCUAACUCCGUGCCAGCAGCCGCGGUAAUUC